CCAGGCACGUGCCCUCACUAGGAAUCAAACCAGCGACCCUCCUGAUCACAGGCUGGCACUCUAUCCAUGGAGCCACACCAGCGCCAGCACCAGAAUUGUGUCUAAAAUUUAUGUUCCCUCUAUACUUUGUCCGAAAACCAGCUUCUUGCAGUUUAUGGUAGUGUUUAUAGUUUGGGGUUAAGAACAGAGUUCUUGUCAUUUUGACCAUCAGAAACAUCUAAAUUGCAUUUCCUGGAGUUAAUGUGUACAAUACUAUGUUUUAAUAUAUUGACUAUUCCUUUUUUAUAUAUUCUUAUACUUCUUCAAAUUCUCUAUUUGCUUUCCUUCAUUUUCAAGUGUUCUUGGCAAAUUGAUGCAGAAGUAUUGUGGUUUGUCUGGUUUUAUUCUGUUGCUAGCCCUUCUGGAGAGCAGAGGGACAGUUGGAAAUGCCCGAAGGAAAAAUAACCUGGCCAUUGUUAUAACUGAAUAACAGUACCCUUUUCCUGCAUAAUUAACCUUGAGUUUCCAAAGUGUGGGCUUGGGAUUCAUUGUAACUUAUUCCCCUUCAGUAUAAAACUAUUCGUUCAACUGUGUCUGAACCUUUGCUUCUGCUUUCUAAAUACUGGCUGGGAGAUCCACUUGUCAUACAUAUUUUAAGAAUAUAAUUAGGUUCUAAGUGUAGUUAGUACCACUUACACAGAUCAUGCAGCAGGAGAAUUAGCCGUUUAGAGUACUUUCUUAGCAAAUAAAUGCGUUGUCUGAGCUAUAUGACUGAUUCUAAACUAUUAGUGAAAUUAGAACAUGUUAAACUUACUGUGAAAUAGAUUUGUACUAUUUCUGCUAAGAAUUAAUAUUUAAUAAUUACACUCACAUAGCUUAGAGAGAUCCCUUAUUCCUUUUCUAUCCAGUGUCCUUUUUUUCUGCUUAAUCUGAAUGGACAUAUUACAUUCAAGUUGAGGGCCUUCAGAACAGCAAAUUAUACUGUAGUGGAUUGUUACAUUAGAUAAGUUGUGAUUUUUCUGAUUGCUUGCAAAAAUAUCAGGCUUUCAGUUUUAACCCGACUGACUAAAACUAUGAAAAAAUGAUAAAAGAGUUUUCUUUUUUUUCUUUUGCCUGGCUACAUAUUUUGAGGCAGUUUGUCCUGUUAAUACCAUGGGCCACAGCAUAGACCAGAUGCCCUAUAUGAGAAGGUGGGGAUUUAUGAGUAGUAGGAGCUUUGUUUAAAUUGGGAUGAAAAGGCAUUCAACAUUUACUGUCUGGGAGAGCAUCGUGGGUGAUUUGUUGUCCUUUUCCUUUGUAUUGCUCUAUCUGGACCUCCUUUUCCCCUCUCCCUCCAGUCAUUUAGAGUGCACACCCGUUUCACUUCUUCCUUUUGAAGAGCAUUGAGUUCUGUUUCUGCAGUAUUUAUUUUAAGCUUUUACUUUGCAUUUAUCUGCUGCUUAAGUAUCUUGAAUCCCUACCAGAUUUGACACUGUCACUGGGAACAGAGGCUGUCUUUGUAUUCCUGAUGUUAGCAUUGUCUUUCGCUCGAAUUUACAAGUUCAGUAAACUUCAUCUUAGCUGUUUAUUAUAUGAUACUUUUUGGCAAAAAAAUAAGUUAAAUGAGAAAAAGGUGCUUUUAGGAGAAUUGGAUUCAUGAAGUUUGAUCACCUUGGACGCCUUAGCAGUUUCCUGAAGCAAUAAGUACAGCAUGAUGUGCUUCGUGUUGCUAUCUGUCAUCACAGGGCAUUGCACCGAAAAAUUCAUUUUUAAAGUCUCAUUUUAUUGAACUUCCUUAAUGUGUUUUGAUUACCACAAACUGGGUUUUUAGCUCAUAACGAAAAAACUGCUUGUUUUAAGUUGAGCCUUUGGUGUCCCUUUCUGCCAGUGGAUGAUUUGAGCCUCCUUAUUAUCACUACCUUAAUUUAGUGGUGAGUAGUAGAAUUGGAUUUUCAGCUUUUGUAUGACAUCAUCAAUGUUUCUUUUUAAGAGUAAUUUAACAAAUUGAAACAAAAGAAUUAUAAAAUAGAAAGUGAAAAUUUCCCAUCUCAGUUCUGCUCGGUGUGUUUCUGAGCACAGACAGACAGUUUUUGAAGAUACAACUCUGCAUUGUGAAAGACGUAUAGAGGCACUGUAGCUUCUCAACGCAGAGGUUAUGAUUGUAGUCAGAUGCCGGGGUUCACGUCCCAGUCCAGUGCAUUUAGGUGGGCCUUUCCUUCUCUCUCUAGUUCUCUUCAUCUGUAAAAUGUGGAGAGUUAAUGGCAUUGUUUGGAACAGUUGGGGAUAAUAUGAAGUGCUUUACACACUGCCUGGAGUAUGUGCCAAUAAAUACUAGCUAUUACCAUAACUAUGUUCUACAGCUUUUUACCUGACAUUGCGGGUAUCCGUCUGCGCAACUUACAUGUAAUAACUGCUUCAUUUUUAUAUCACAUAUUACAUUGUAAGAAUACUCUUGUAAUCAACCAGUUCUUAAAUGGAUAUUAUGAUGCUUUCCAGUUUGUUAGUGCAUUGUGUACAGUGUUCCUGUGUAACCUGGGAUAUCUUUUUUGUAUGAUUCUUACAAAAAUUGUCAAAUUCCAGAACCUGUGAGGUCAAGAGAGUAUUCAUUAGCCAAUAUCAAGUGUGCCCUCUCUGUAGGAAAUAGCCCUGGACUGACACUGCUCAUUUUAAGCUUACUGUUGCUGUACAGGUGCUGGGGGCAAGUCCAUAUUUGGCCUGUCAUCUAAUCCAUUGCACACUUACCCCAGAAGCGGCCAGAAAUUAGGAUUUUUGUGAUUAGGAUAUUAUAUAUUACAAUAUGGUUUACAAUAGGCUAUGUCGUCCUACUUCAGGACCUUUGGUUUGAGUUCUGUGUCCUAGGAUUUCUGUAUGAUAGAUUGCUAGAAGCGAAUUUACUAGACAUAAACUUUAAAAAUUGAUCUAUGGCCCUUCAUGGUGUGGUUUAGUGGAUUCAGUGCCAGCCUGGAAACUGAAGAGGUCACCGGUUCAAUUCCCAGGCACAUGCCUGGGUUGCGGGCUGGGUCCCCAGUUGGGGGCUUGAGAGAGGCGACUGAUGGAUGGACCUAUCGUACAUCAUUGUUUCUUUCCCUCUCUUUCUCCCUUCCCUUCUUUCUACUAAUAAAUAAAAUAGCUAAAAAAUUGAUAUAUACAUUUUAAUUUUGAUGAAUGUUGCCAAAUUGCUUUUAAAAAUGAUGCACCAAGUGCACUUUCAUUGUGAUGGAUCGGUGUGCUCAUUUUCUUACACUGUUGCCAACAUUGGAGGUUUAUAAUAAGUUUUUAAUUUUUAUCAGCUAUCCAUCAACUUUGUUUUUCUCCAGUCUUGCAGAAAAUGGUUGCUUCCCUGGAAGCUUAAUUUGCUUCCCUAAUUUCUAGUGAAACUCUGUGUGUGUGUGUGUGUGUGUAGGGGGGGGGAGAACUUUAUGCAUUUAGAAUUUACUGUUUUGGCAGAGGUUGCAUGUAUUUUCCUCAUUUACCAUUUGCUUAACCUUUGUCCAUGAUGUAUUUUUGCCACAUAAAAGUUGGAGUAUUUUUAUACAGGCAAAUCUGUUUUGUGUAUGGCUUUUGGGAUUUGUCUCUUGCUUAAAUGUGGUUCUGAAAAUAGUGUUCAUUUCCUUUAACAUUUUGAAAUGUCUCUGUAAUUUUUAAAUGUUUUGAAAUGUAUUAUGGCAUCUGUAAUUUAGAUUUUACUGUAUACAACCAAAGCCAUUUGAGAAUUUCAUACUUUCUUCACUGACUUGGAAUAGUUAUUAGUAAUAAUACAUCCAAAGAUUGAUCAUACUUUUUUUGGAUGUAUAGCCACUAAACUACAGUUCACAAAUCGUAGGAACUGGCACUAUUUAAGUUAGCUUUAUAAUUGUUGUACCAAGAGGUUCUUGAUAUUUCAGAGUGUAUGUACUGGUUUAAGUUGGACACCUAAACUUUUGAAACAAAUACAUAGCUGUAAUAAGGAACCUAUUGUGCUAAUUUUACAAAAAUGUUGCUAUUCUUCUUUGUAAGUACCCAAAUAUCCUAAUUAGAGUCAGGUCUUAGCCUAUCAUUGGGAAAGGGCAGAGCUCUUUAUGAGUACUAGUUUAAAAACUUACUGUGUUUGGAAAACUCCUCACAAUGUGUCAUAGUUUUUAAAUUCCCAGUUUACCAUGCAGCGUAGAGAAGAGUUGUAAUAUAUUCGCUGGUAAAUCCACGGGUACAACUUAGCGAGAAUAAUUUUCACUGGUGGCAGGAGUGAAACCAGAAUAGAAGAGAAAACAGGCCUCUGUGAUUGAUCACGUUUCUGCAGAAUGGAGAGGAGGAGUUCUGGAUGCCAUUACCAAAAGUUGUGGAGGGUUUUGAGGAAGCUGUGUUUUGGGAAGCUGUGUUUGGGAGCAGCGUGGAUGGUGGGUUGGCAUCGCAAAGGAGCAGAAGGACGAAGUGGGACCAAAAUGCCAGGUGUCAUAGCUGGAGUACUUGGAAUAGAAUUGUUAUAUAGAGUGUUGUUAAAA